AAGUCGUAACAAGGUAACCGUAGGUGAACCUGCGGUUGGAUCAUUAACAAAAUGUUGCCCUACCUACCCUCUCGGGGGUAUGGUAAGGUAAAAACACCAUUGUCAACUUUAUGCGGGAGUCUUUGGACUCUUGUAUUCUCAACUAGAUUUUUAUAUUGUAACAAACUCUAAAGUUGUAUUGACUUUAAAAAUUAAUAUUAAACAACUUUUGGCAACGGAUCUCUAGGCUCUU
rnacentral:misc_RNA from 1 species